GAUGGGCGGUGUCAGGACAUGGGCUGCGCGCGCCUGGGUGUACCUGUGGCGAGGGGCGUGGCUUAGGUGCCCCAGGUGGGAAGCUCCUUGUCCCUGAGUUAACGGUCGGCCAUGGGUCAAUGUAGGCAGUUGGGGCUGUUACUAGGUCCCUUACUCACUAUUUGUUUGUCUUUAGUCAGUGGGAAGUACGAAGCUGGGAAACUACAGACUGGGAAGAAAUGGGUAUUUUUGACCAAAUUUUGUUUUCUGUCUGAGAAAGGACAGAUCAACUACCAUAUCUGGUAUCCCAAGGCAAAACAUAUUGUGAAUUUGCUGUUUUAUUAUGACGAGAUGACCCAAUGGCCCUCUGUGUAUAAGAACAGCUCAAAGGACUGCUGGAGUAAAGAAGCAGUGGCUGCCAAUGGAAAUAAUCAACUGUUGAACCUCACUCAAACUUUUCUGUUAUCUGGCUGCCAGGAGAGAGAGAGCCUUGGUGGGUAGUGGAGUGCCUGAAUCAAACUGCUUACUGACCCUAUGCGGAGAGAAUCCUUGCCUUAGUGGGAUAGGACCAUGAACAGCCAGUACUGAUGCUGAAAUAUCCACGUUCUGGCAACUGACACCAAUGGCACCCUGAAGAGACCAGCCUCUCAGCGUAUCAUCUCCUCCUCCACCUCUGAGGAAGAAGCUGCAGCUCCGGUCAAAGAAGCACAAGCAAGGCCGUCUCCUGCACCCUCCUGCUUAGUGUACUAGAAAUGAGAAAUGAGAUUAGAUAAUGUCCUUGCCCAUAUCUUCAAUUGUAGACAAGCCCAUAGACUUAGUCCCCUUAGAAUUUGAGACAUGGCCAUUUGAUUGAUGCACAUGAAGUGUGUUUGCAGUGUAAGCUGCUGGCACAGACUGUAGGUGUGACAUUGACGUAGCAUGGUGCCAAUCAGAACUAUUUCCAACCCCUUGACUGAUCACUCCUGACGACCAUGUCAAGCUGCCUGAAUAAUUGUCUGCGCUACAAGGCAAAGCAAGAAAGAUGUAUGAUAACCGUAAAUGAGGCAACAAAGCAUAAAAGAGACAAGGCAAGAUAAUGCAUGGCAGGGAUGCUGUGAGCAUCCAAAUAGGCUCAAGUGAGUCAGCGCUGAGAGAACAAACUAAGAGCACUGAGAUAUCUGACCCUCAACACAAAGUGGUCGAGCAGCAACAUUGCAAUCCAAGGUGUCAGUGCAUUCCAAAUGCAGCACUGAAGUGGCGAACUGUAUUCUGAGUGAGUUGGAGAUAUGCUAUGAUGACGUAGUGAGGCUGAUGCCAACCUCUUGGGAGAAGGGGUUGUUAUAGGUUUUCACUGCCCUUAGACUAUGCGUUGACAUGUUAGGAACUGCAAGCCAAGAUGGAGGUGCAGAGGAACAAAGGACGACUUGAAGCCACCAGGAUUCACUUUGCAUGUUGGGAAUUGUCAAUGUCCAGUUUCCCUGCAUCAUGGAAGAAUAAGAAGUUGGCUGAGUCUUGGAUCCAACUGUGACUUGAGUUCCCAGUUGUCGUAGAAGGCUGUCAAGAUGUUGCUGCUGUUUGCUAUAACUUUACUGUGUGACUGGAUUUUGAUUACUUAUUGGAAUUAAAUCAGUAUUAUCAUCAUCUUUGUGUGGAAAAUAAUUUAUGACUCAUACAU